rnacentral:rRNA from 1 species
AGCGAACGCUGGCGGCAGGCCUAACACAUGCAAGUCGAACGAACCUUUCGGGGUUAGUGGCGGACGGGUGAGUAACACGUGGGAACGUGCCUUUAGGUUCGGAAUAACUCAGGGAAACUUGUGCUAAUACCGAAUGUGCCCUUCGGGGGAAAGAUUUAUCGCCUUUAGAGCGGCCCGCGUCUGAUUAGCUAGUUGGUUGAGGUAAUGGCUCACCAAGGCGACGAACAGUAGCUGGUCUGAGAGGAUGAUCAGCCACAUUGGGACUGAGACACGGCCCAAACUCCUACGGGAGGCAGCAGUGGGGAAUCUUGCGCAAUGGGCGAAAGCCUGACGCAGCCAUGCCGCGUGAAUGAUGAAGGUCUUAGGAUUGUAAAAUUCUUUCACCGGGGACGAUAAUGACGGUACCCGGAGAAGAAGCCCCGGCUAACUUCGUG